rnacentral:rRNA from 1 species
AUUGAACGCUGGCGGAAUGCUUUACACAUGCAAGUCGAACGGUAGAGGGGGCAACCCCUCGAGAGUGGCGAACGGGUGAGUAAUAUAUCGGAACGUGCCCAGUCGUGGGGGAUAACGUAGCGAAAGUUACGCUAAUACCGCAUACGAUCUAAGGAUGAAAGCGGGGGAUCGCAAGACCUCGCGCGAUUGGAGCGGCCGAUAUCAGAUUAGGUAAUUGGUGGGGUAAAGGCGCACCAAGCCAACGAUCUGUAGCUGGUCUGAGAGGACGACCAGCCAGACGGGAAGGGAAACACGGUCCAGACUCCUACGCGAGGCAGCAGUGGGGAAUUGUGGACAGUGGAGGCAAGUCUGAUCCAGCCAUACCACGUGCAGGGUGAAGGCCCUCGGGUUGUAAACUGCUUUUGUACGGAACGAAAAGGUCUCUCUUAAUACGGGGGGCUCAUGACGGUACCGUAAGAAUAAGCACCGGCUAACUACGUGCCAGCAGCCGCCGUAA